UUUUAGGAUGACUCGAUAUCAAACAAAGUCUGAAAAAAAAAAAAAAGGACGCAUUCCUUAUUUGCCCUAAACAAGAUCGACUGCCUCCUAUUCUUUCAUUCCCUUCGUGUUUGCUUCUCCGCGUCUGUUUCUCUACACCUUCCGAUGAUGCCGCUGAAACGGCGCCCGCCCACCCAAAACGUCGACGACGCUGCACCCAGCAACGCCGCCGCCACCGCCGCAAGUUCUUCUAUCUCCAACUCGUUCUUCCACCGACGCAACUGUUGAGCAUAAAGUUAUUGCUGACAAGUGAUAUGAUACCAGUAAUUCCAACUCCGAAGUCCUCUACAUAGGUUCUGAUUCCAGCUGAAACAAAAGGAACCACCAUCAAUGAUAUGGGCUGUAAUUUCAAAUCUAGUUCAUCGGAGAUUAUAUCUCCAGUUCAUUAAUUGGGCAUGUCUCUAUGCCUUUUUGCGUGCUCUGUUUCCAGUUCAUGAGUUGCCACUCUCCUUGAUACAACUUGUAAUCUACUUUCAAGAAUAACUAUUAAGGGUUUUUCUUUCAAGAAUGUGUUUAUACUUGUCAUGAUAUGUAAGAAAUAGCAAUGUACUUUUAUUGAUUUUUUUAUUGUAAAGUCAAACUUUCACCUCUUCCUAUUAGACCAUUGUAUUGUAUUUUGAAAAAUCUAUUUAGUUAAAACAAAGCAACUAUGAUUGCUAAUUGGAUUAGA